rnacentral:rRNA from 1 species
GUAGUCAUAUGCUUGUCUCAAAGAUUAAGCCAUGCAUGUCUAAGUACAUGCCGAAAUAAGGCGAAACCGCGAAUGGCUCAUUAAAUCAGUUAUGGUUCCUUAGAUUGUUUCUUCCUACUUGGAUAACUGUGGCAAUUCUAGAGCUAAUACAUGCAGUGAGCCCUUGUGUCCUUUUUGGCCAGCGGGUGCUUUUAUUAGACCAAGAUCGAUCGGGUUUCGGCCCGUAUUGUGUGGUGACUC